UACGUAGGGGGCAAGCGUUGUCCGGAAUCAUUGGGCGUAAAGAGCGUGUAGGCGGCCAGAAAAGUCCGCUGUGAAAACUCGAGGCUCAACUUCGAGCUGUCGGUGGAAACUUUCUGGCUAGAGUCCGGAAGAGGAGAAUGGAAUUCCUGGUGUAGCGGUGAAAUGCGCAGAUAUCAGGAAGAACACCCCGUGGCGAAGGCGGUUCUCUGGGACGGUACUGACGCUGAGACGCGAAAAGCGUGGGGAGCGAACAGG
rnacentral:rRNA from 1 species